GCCUAAAUCACCCCUCAUGCAACUUCCUUGUGGUGCGGCAAGGAAAAACGUGAACAUCUCUGUCGUGCGAAAGGCAUAGCUUUGGUUUGGUCCAGUAUAGAAAAGAGAUAAAUGUAUAUUUGAGACGUGCUAAUGGUCCCGGACUCGGUGGUAUACCUACCUUGGUACCGGAUGUCUUAGGCCUCGUACCGCACUGAAUUAAUAUAAUUUUAAUGCAGUGCGGAACGAGGCUAAAACGUCCCAUAUCCCUCCGGACCUCGUACCGCACCCAACGCGAGCUUCCCGCGACUAGUGUUGUGCAUCACGUCGAUUGAAGAGCACGUCUUUUUACAUCGCCGAACAUGUCUAAACGAUGUCGGAAGAAGUUAAUUUUAAAAAACCCAGAAACAGAACCAAAACAGGUAAGUUUUUUAAUUGAUAUUUUUGUAGGUAGUGAAAAACUCCACAAAAAACGCAAAGCAGCCGUUGACAAAACAGGUAAGUAAUUAAUUAAUAAUUCAGUAGUACUGGAAAAAAGAAGAGAGGAACCGAUGAAUGCAUAAAAAAACCAGGAUGUGUUCUGCUGUACAAUAAAAAAAAAAGGCAUUGACUUUUCUGACCAGAUGUCAUCUUAUUAUACAACGUUGAAGAGAGGAAUCAAAUGGUGGAGAAAAGUUGUAAUGGAGCUAAUAUUCGGUACAGUGCUAAUUAAUGCCUGGAUUGUGUUUAAUUCAAUCCAAACUGAUGAAAAAAAGUUACCGAAAAGACUCUUUGUGGAGAAACUUAUAGAAUCUUUUAUAAAAAAGGAAAUCGAUGAGAUCCCAGCACCUUAAAGCAGCGCACGUCAUUGCCUUGAAAAGGGUGAAAAAAGAAGAUGUGUUGGUUGUUACCAGAAACUACGCACAUUUUUACCAUCUCGUGAAGCUGACAAAAAAUCCAAAAAGAUUUUGACUCAGUGCUCUCAGUGCAAAAAAUCUUAUUGUCUACCCUGUUUCAAUGAAAAACACUCAUAAAUAAGUACAAAAUAUAUAUUGAGAUUUUUUUAUAAAAAAGUAUAUUGUUACUGAAUUUUUGUAUGUUAAUUCAAGUUCUAAUAAGUGUGUUUUUAAAGCCCGAGGCAGAAUAAAUAGGAUAGUUUCUUUUCUA